UACGAAGGGGGCUAGCGUUGUUCGGAGUUACUGGGCGUAAAGGGCGCGUAGGCGGCGCACCAAGUCAGGCGUGAAAGCCCUGGGCUCAACCCGGGAAUUGCGCUUGAGACUGGUGUGCUUGAGUACGGGAGAGGAUAGCGGAAUUCCCAGUGUAGAGGUGAGAUUCGUAGAUAUUGGGAAGAACACCGGUGGCGAAGGCGGCUAUCUGGACCGUAACUGACGCUGAGGCGCGAAAGCGUGGGGAGCAAACAGG
rnacentral:rRNA from 1 species